rnacentral:misc_RNA from 1 species
UUAAGUUCAGCGGGUAUUCCUACCUGAUCUGAGGUCGAGUUUCAAAGUGUCGAGGGUCCCGAGAGACCACGACAAAAGACUGGUAGACCGCUAUAACCGCUGCAAGAAUAGUACUAUACAGGGACAUAGGGGCCACCGCCGUUGAUUUUCAGCGGUUGCUAGGCAAUCCGCCAACACCGAGCAGUGCUCGAGGGUAGAAA